UACGUAGGGGGCAAGCGUUGUCCGGAUUUAUUGGGCGUAAAGAGCGUGUAGGCGGCCAUACAGGUCCGUUGUGAAAACUGGAGGCUUAACCUCCAGACGUCGAUGGAAACCGUAUGGCUAGAGUCCGGAAGAGGAGAGUGGAAUUCCUGGUGUAGCGGUGAAAUGCGCAGAUAUCUGAAGGAACACCAGUGGCGAAAGCGGCUUCCUGGUCCAGUACCGACGUUCAGGCACGAAAGCGUGGGGAGCAAACAGG
rnacentral:rRNA from 1 species